AGUCGAGCGGAUCGAUGGGAGCUUGCUCCCUGAGAUCAGCGGCGGACGGGUGAGUAACACGUGGGUAACCUGCCUGUAAGACUGGGAUAACUCCGGGAAACCGGGGCUAAUACCGGAUAACUCAGUUCCUCGCAUGAGGAACGGUUGAAAGGUGGCUUUUAGCUACCACUUACAGAUGGACCCGCGGCGCAUUAGCUAGUUGGUGAGGUAACGGCUCACCAAGGCGACGAUGCGUAGCCGACCUGAGAGGGUGAUCGGCCACACUGGGACUGAGACACGGCCCAGACUCCUACGGGAGGCAGCAGUAGGGAAUCUUCCGCAAUGGACGAAAGUCUGACGGAGCAACGCCGCGUGAGUGAAGAAGGUUUUCGGAUCGUAAAACUCUGUUGUUAGGGAAGAACAAGUGCCGUUCGAAUAGGGCGGCACCUUGACGGUACCUAACCAGAAAGCCACGGCUAACUACGUGCCAGCAGCCGCGGUAAUACGUAGGUGGCAAGCGUUGUCCGGAAUUAUUGGGCGUAAAGCGCGCGCAGGUGGUUUCUUAAGUCUGAUGUGAAAGCCCACGGCUCAACCGUGGAGGGUCAUUGGAAA
rnacentral:rRNA from 1 species